AUGUAAGAGGCAACACAAAGAAGGUUGGAAGAAGCAUGCAGAAGGGAUGUCCACAAGGAUCAAUAAUUGGUCCUGUUGCAUGGAACUUCUGCAUGGACGUUCUUCUAGACGGCCUAGUUCAGCUAGGAGAAAAUGUGGAACCCAUUGCAUACGCAGAUGACUUGGCGUUAAUAAUUAAAGGAAACUCCAGAAAUGACCUGGAGAGAACUGGUACCAUGGCUCUUAAAUGCGUUGAGGACUGGUGCGUGACGCAUAAAGUGAGAGUCAGCAGUGGAAAAACUGUCGCAAUGAUGAUGAAGGGCAAAUUUAAUGAAGGCAGACAACCGAUUAUCAAAGUUGACAAGAAUAGCCUGAAAUAUACAAAAGAAGUGCGAUACUUGGGAAUUACUAUAGAUAACAGGCUAAACUUUGUAGCGCACACUAAGUUUCUGAGGGAGAAGCUAGUCAGCUUCAUCUUGAAAAUCAAGAGGGUUGCAAAGGAGGAAUGGGGCCUUAAAAGAGGCACCCUUGACACUUUGUACAAAGCAGUGAUAAUACCUAUAGCAACAUACAGCGCUGCUGCGUGGUUCGACAAGUCGUCCCACACACACAACCUUAGAAACUUGAACGCCGCGCAAAGAAUAAUUCUUUUGACACUCACCAAGGCGUGCCGUACCACCGCAACAAAUGCAUUACAAACAAUAAGUGGCAAAAUGCCACUAGACCUAGAAAUUACACAACAAGGCAUCAUAAACCUUGUAAAAAGAAACGAGAAAGUUAGCUGGAACAAUUAUAAUUUCAAUCCAAUAGCGAACCCAAGCAGGGAAACCCUCAAUCUAGAGGUUAAAAUGAUAAAUGAAGCAAUAAAGCUGGAAUGGCAGAAAAGAUGGGAAUUGGCAAACACGGGUAGGAUAACCUACGGUUUCAUUGGCGAUAUUACAUACGCUACAAGGAACAAGUGGUUUAAACCCAGUAGAGAGUGCGUGUACAUUCUGACCGGAUACGGUCCGUUUAUGCACACACUUUACACAAGGGGCGCCACAGAAGACGACAAAUGUCCCUUCUGUGGAGAAAGUGAGACAAGCACGCACAUGCUGGUCAUGUGCGACAGAUAUGAUGAAGUAAGAAGGCAAAGCCUCUUUGAAAUAGCAGGGAACACAAACCUUGAUGUGUACCUGGAAACCAAAGCCAAUUACCUGGGGCUUGUUGCUUUUGCAGCACGAGCCAUUAAAACCAGAAAUGAAGUGCAAAACCAAAGCUAAAACCUAUAAUCCAAACUGACGCUAGAAAUGCAGGACCGCCUCCACGUGGUUAGGGAUGGAAACGUCAGCCCACUGACGGCCAAAGGUCCUGCACAACACCCACAAAUAUAAUAUUUAAAUUGAGAAAUAAACAAUUUUUAAGUAGACGCUACAUAGCAAUGAGUGAAAGCUCGAGCUAUACAGAAUAAGAAUAAACAAUGAAUGAAAUGUCCCUAUCUACUUUCUAGCGAAACCACUGCCAAGGGAACGGGCUUGGAAAAAUUAGCGGGGAAAGAAGACCCUGUUGAGUUUGACUCUAGUCUGGCAUUGUAAGGAGACAUGUAAGGUGUAGCAUAAGUGGGAGAUAGUAAUAUCGUCGGUGAAAUACCACUACUUUCAUCGUUUCUUUACUUACUCGAUUGGGCGAAAAGCGUGCGUCGAAAACUUGCGUUCCGACUGUCACGGUUUUCUAGAGCCAAGCGCAUAAGAGUGGUGUGAGCCAUUGCGCCGAUCGCCAACAAUACUCUAGCGUGAUCCGAUUCGAGGAAUCUGCUAGGCGGGGAGUUUGACUGGGGCGGUACAUCUAUCAAAUAAUAACGCAGGUGUCCUAAGGCCAGCUCAGCGAGGACAGAAACCUCGCGUAGAGUAAAAGGGCGAAUUCUGGCUUGAUCCCGUUGUUCAGUGUGCACAGGGACUGCGAAAGCAUGGCCUAUCGAUCCUUUUGGUUUGAAGAGUUUUCAGCAAGAGGUGUCAGAAAAGUUACCACAGGGAUAACUGGCUUGUGGCAGCCAAGCGUUCAUAGCGACGUUGCUUUUUGAUCUUUCGAUGUCGGCUCUUCCUAUCAUUGCAAAGCAGAAUUCGCCAAGCGUUGGAUUGUUCACCCACAAAUAGGGAACGUGAGCUGGGUUUAGACCGUCGUGAGACAGGUUAGUUUUACCCUACUGAUGAAUCGUCGUUGCGAUAGUAAUCCUGCUCAGUACGAGAGGAACCGCAGGUUCGGACAUUUGGUUCACGCACUCGGUCGAGCGGCCGGUGGUGCGAAGCUACCAUCCGUGGGAUUAUGCCUGAACGCCUCUAAGGCCGUAUCCUUUCUAGACAAAGUAAGCAACGAUAUCUCUAGAAGUCUCGUGAGUCGAAAGGCUCAAUACAAUGUGAUUUAUUAGGUAUUCGGCACACGCCGUUUAUCGCACGAGCCAUUUUUAGCCGAAUGAGGCGCUG
rnacentral:rRNA from 1 species